rnacentral:rRNA from 1 species
GAUGAACGCUGGCGGCGUGCCUAAUACAUGCAAGUCGAGCGAACAGACGAGGAGCUUGCUCCUCUGACGUUAGCGGCGGACGGGUGAGUAACACGUGGAUAACCUACCUAUAAGACUGGGAUAACUUCGGGAAACCGGAGCUAAUACCGGAUAACAUGUUGAACCGCAUGGUUCAACAGUGAAAGACGGUCUUGCUGUCACUUAUAGAUGGAUCCGCGCCGCAUUAGCUAGUUGGUAAGGUAACGGCUUACCAAGGCAACGAUGCGUAGCCGACCUGAGAGGGUGAUCGGCCACACUGGAACUGAGACACGGUCCAGACUCCUACGGGAGGCAGCAGUAGGGAAUCUUCCGCAAAGGGCGAAAGCCUGACGGAGCAACGCCGCGUGAGUGAAAAAGGUCUUCGGAUCGUAAAACUCUGUUAUUAGGGAAGAACAAAUGUGUAAGUAACUAUGCACGUCUUGACGGUACCUAAUCAGAAAGCCACGGCUAACUACGUG